UGUCUAUGUAAUGCAUGGUAUGGGGCAGC
rnacentral:piRNA from 1 species